rnacentral:rRNA from 1 species
CGUGAAACCGCUCAGAGUAUAAGCCAAUGGAGCUUGGAAGGCUUCCGCAGCCAGCAUUCAUCCUACGAGGUGUUUGUAAGACAUUGAGUGUGGCUCGUCAGGCGUAGCAUUGAGUUUGCCAGGUUAGCUGUCGUGCGGGGGUUCAGUUAAGGGGGCCGGGCCUUUGGCUUAGCUUCCCUUGCUGUUCCCUUUUGAACGGACGUUCAGAGCUCUAUUGUCUAAUGCGGUUAUGCCCACCACGGCACGUUGUGAGGUCACCCACAGGCUCAAACUGCCGAUCGCGCAUCCAGGAUGAUGGCAACGAUGCGUUGUUCAGCUUCGCGGCUGUAUCGCGUGUCUAGUCCUGGGUCGGGCGGCGACCGAGAUAAACCUGGUAUGAUCCUCUUGCGACGAGCUGCUUUCUGGCCAGACCGACGUCCAGGCGCUUCCACUGUGCCGGAAGCGUCAAAUCCCAGGCGGUGUGAACCCAGCUGCAUUAUGCAAGGUCUCUCAGCCGGGCGUUGGUCUGAGUGGUGUUAAGUCCAGCACCAUCGGUCACGUCUC